GCAACUCGCCUACAUGAAGCUGGAAUUGCUAGUAAUCAUAGGUCAGCAUACUAUGGUGAAUACGUUCCCGGGCCUUGUACACACCGCCCGUCACACCAUGAGAGUUGAGAAUACCCGAAGUCCAUGUCAAAGUGGCCGAAGGUAGGCUUGAUGAUUGGGGUGAAGUCGUAACAAGGUAUC
rnacentral:rRNA from 1 species